UGGGGAAUUUUGGACAAUGGGCGAAAGCCUGAUCCAGCAAUGCCGCGUGUGUGAAGAAGGCCUUCGGGUUGUAAAGCACUUUUGUCCGGAAAGAAAUCCUUGGCUCUAAUACAGUCGGGGGAUGACGGUACCGGAAGAAUAAGCACCGGCUAACUACGUGCCAGCAGCCGCGGUAAUACGUAGGGUGCAAGCGUUAAUCGGAAUUACUGGGCGUAAAGCGUGCGCAGGCGGUUUGCUAAGACCGAUGUGAAAUCCCCGGGCUCAACCUGGGAACUGCAUUGGGUGACUGGGCAGGCUAGAGUAUGGCAGAGGGGGGUAGAAUUCCACGUGUAGCAGUGAAAUGCGUAGAGAUGUGGAGGAAUACCGAUGGCGAAGGCAGCCCCCUGGGCCAAUACUGACGCUCAUGCACGAAAGCGUGGGGAGCAAACAGGAUUAGAUACCCUGGUAGUCCACGCCCUAAACGAUGUCAACUAGUUGUUGGGGAUUCAUUUCCUUAGUAACGUAGCUAACGCGUGAAGUUGACCGCCUGGGGAGUACGGUCGCAAGAUUAAAACUCAAAGGAAUUGACGGGGU
rnacentral:rRNA from 1 species